rnacentral:rRNA from 1 species
GCCACGCCCGGAACGGAUAACCGCUGAAGGCAUCUAAGCGGGAAGCCGUCUCCGAGAUGAGUUCUCCCUUCGGUAAGUCCCCAUGCAGAACACGUGGUAGAUAGGCCGCAGCUGCAAGCGCCGCGAGGCGUUCAGGCGAGCGGUACUAAUAGGACGAGCCCUUGCACCCAUCC